UACAGAGGGUGCAAGCGUUGUUCGGAAUUACUGGGCGUAAAGCGCACGUAGGCGGCUUUGUAAGUUAGAGGUGAAAGCCUGGAGCUCAACUCCAGAAUUGCCUUUAAGACUGCAUCGCUUGAAUCGCGGAGAGGUGAGUGGAAUUCCGAGUGUAGAGGUGAAAUUCGUAGAUAUUCGGAAGAACACCAGUGGCGAAGGCGGCUCACUGGACGCGUAUUGACGCUGAGGUGCGAAAGCGUGGGGAGCAAACAGG
rnacentral:rRNA from 1 species